AUUGAACGCUGGCGGCAUGCUUUACACAUGCAAGUCGAAUGGUAACAGGCCGCAAGGUGCUGACGAGUGGCGAACGGGUGAGUAAUGCAUCGGAACGUGCCCAGUCGUGGGGGAUAACUACUCGAAAGAGUAGCUAAUACCGCAUACGAUCUAUGGAUGAAAGCGGGGGACCGUAAGGCCUCGCGCGAUUGGAGCGGCCGAUGUCAGAUUAGGUAGUUGGUGGGGUAAAGGCUCACCAAGCCAACGAUCUGUAGCUGGUCUGAGAGGACAACCAGCCACACUGGGACUGAGACACGGCCCAGACUCCUACGGGAGGCAGCAGUGGGGAAUUUUGGACAAUGGGCGCAAGCCUGAUCCAGCAAUGCCGCGUGCAGGAAGAAGGCCUUCGGGUUGUAAACUGCUUUUGUACGGAACGAAACGGCUCUGGUUAAUACCCGGGGCUAAUGACGGUACCGUAAGAAUAAGCACCGGCUAACUACGUG
rnacentral:rRNA from 1 species